UUUCAUUGCCAACUGUGAGGAUGAAGCAGCUUCAUGGCCGGAGAUCGGGCGCCUCCCAUCAGUUUCCCUUUUCAGCAAUAGAGGCCUUGGAGGCCUUUCUACCUGCGUUGCAUCCUGUGGCUGGACCACUCCAACGAUCUCGGCAGAAUCGUUACACAGGAAGAAGUCUGGCUGGCCCCAAGCCUGGUGCAAAAUGAAGAAAUGGCACUCCACAUCAAUUCAUGUUUACUUGUCGUCAUAACCAGUCUGUUAGC